AACGAACGCUGGCGGCAUGCCUAACACAUGCAAGUCGAACGAUACCUUCGGGUCUAGUGGCGCAGGGGUGCGUAACGCAUGGGAACCUGCCCUUAGGUUCGGAAUAACUCCCCGAAAGGGGUUCUAAUACCGGAUAAUGUCUUCGGACCAAAGAUUUAUCGCCUUUGGAUGGGCCCGCGUUCGAUUAGCUAGUUGGUAGGGUAAAAGCCUACCAAGGCGACGAUCCAUAGCUGGUCUGAGAGGAUGAUCAGCCACACUGGGACUGAGACACGGCCCAGACUCCUACGGGAGGCAGCAGUGGGGAAUAUUGGACAAUGGGCGAAAGCCUGAUCCAGCAAUGCCGCGUGAGUGAUGAAGGCCUUAGGGUUGUAAAGCUCUUUUACCCGGGAUGAUAAUGACAGUACCGGGAGAAUAAGCUCCGGCUAACUCCGUG
rnacentral:rRNA from 1 species